rnacentral:ncRNA from 2 species
CCCCAGGGAUGCGUAGAGCUGAGGGACCGAGCCCUUUGAAGCUCCGGCAACCGCCGCCCACAGGCAUGGUGCCAAGUCUCGGCAGGCCGCACGGCCUGGAAGACGGGGG